rnacentral:piRNA from 1 species
UGGCAAAUGAAGAUGGCACACACA